rnacentral:tRNA from 1 species
GCUCCGUUAGUCUAGAGGCCCCUUUCUUUUCAAAAAAAGAAAGGCCCCUGGGUUCAAAGAAAAACCCAAGGCAAGGGUAAUAAAUCCGAGCCAGACAAUCCGGUCAAGGAUGCGGCCCUUUCGAGGCCGUGACCCGGGUUCAAAUCCCGGACGGAGCA